CUUUUAGAUAAUAAUUUAAGGUCUAACCUGCCCAAUGAAGUUUUAAAUGGCCGCGGUAUUUUGMCCGUGCAAAGGUMGCAUAAUAAUUVGUUCUUUAAUUGAGAGCUUGUAUGAAAGGUUGAAUGAGAAAAUAACUGUCUCAGUUAAAAAAUUUUUUAGAAAUUUAUUUUUAAGUVAAAAAGCUUAAAUGAUGAUAAAAGACGAGAAGACCCUGUAGAGUUUCAUAUUUUUAAAAGAGAUUAAUUUUUGGGAUUGAUUAUUUAUUUUUGUUAAGAAUAUUUGGUUGGGGCGACAAGAGAAUUUAAUGAACUUUUUUAAUUUUUAAACACUAAUUAGUGGGUUAAUGAUCCUUUUUUAUAGAUUAAGAGAAAAAAUUACCUCAGGGAUAACAGCGUUAUUUUUUUUGAGAGUCCUAAUCGAAAAAGAAGUUUGCGACCUCGAUGUUGGAUUAAAAUUAAGCUUNGGUGCAGAAGCUAAG
rnacentral:rRNA from 1 species